rnacentral:rRNA from 1 species
UACGUAGGGUGCAAGUGUUGUCCGGAAUUAUUGGGCGUAAAGAGCUCGUAGGCGGUUUGUCGCGUCGAAUGUGAAAACCCGGGGCUCAACCCCGGGCCUGCAUUCGAUACGGGCAGACUAGAGUUCGGUAGGGGAGUCUGGAAUUCCUGGUGUAGCGGUGGAAUGCGCAGAUAUCAGGAGGAACACCAAUGGCGAAGGCAGAUCUCUGGGCCGUAACUGACGCUGAGGAAGCGGAAAGCAUGGGGAGCGAACAG